rnacentral:rRNA from 1 species
AGUCAAUAGAUACCCGGGUAGUCCCAGCAGUAAACGGUGCGCGUUUGGUGUGAGCAGAUUCGACUCUGUUCGCGCCGGAGCUAACGCGUUAAACGCGCCGCCUGGGAAGUACGAUCGCAAGAUUAAAACUCAAAGAAAUUGACGGGGGCCGCACAAGCGGUGGAGUAUGUGGCUUAAUUCGAUGCAACGCGAAGAACCUUACCUGGGUUUGACAUGCAUCUCUAAGGAGGUGAAAGCUUCCGAGGGUAGCAAUACCCGAUUUGCACAGGUGCUGCAUGGCUGUCGUCAGCUCGUGUCGUGAGAUGUUGGGUUUAAGUCCCGCAACGAGCGCAACCCUUGUAUGCUGUUGCUAUGCUUACGCAUAGCUCUCUGCGUAGACUGCCCCGUGAAACGGGGAGGAAGGUGGGGAUGACGUCAAGUCAGCAUGGCCCUUACACCCAGGGGCUGCACACGUACUACAAUGCUCAGUACAAUUAGAA